rnacentral:rRNA from 1 species
GGGGAAACCCUGAUGCAGCCAUGCCGCGUGUGUGAAGAAGGCCUUCGGGUUGUAAAGCACUUUCAGUGGUGAGGAAGGAUGUAAGAUUAAUACUCUUGCAUAUUGACGUUAGCCACAGAAGAAGCACCGGCUAACUCCGUGCCAGCAGCCGCGGUAAUUAAA